AUCCUUCGGUUCAUACAUGUGAUGAUCGGGAGUGUCACAGAUUCUCUGUGACAGGUGUGACCUCAUUGUUACGCAAUGCACCUCAGCCGUCUGAUC
ensembl:snoRNA Small nucleolar RNA U13